ACCCAGUGAGUUAACUCUAAAUGAACCAGUCACUGACUUGUAAUAAGGAUCUUUUCUCUUCUUCCAGGAAAGAGCUUCAUCUGUCCGCUGACCUCGAAUGCAGCUGUGAGGCCGUGAAGACAUGACGUGUGCUUCCAUUGGUGGACUGACCUUCAAUGACAUCAGAGCAGGUGCUGUGCUUUGUGGACAGACGUUGAUCCUGUGGUCAACCAUGAAUAUCAAGAACGUGUCAAUGUUUGUGCAAAAUUGUCAAUAAAUGGAAAAAAUAAAUGCUGUGCCUGUUGUCUUUAUGUAAGAGAAAAGUACAAUAUGUACCAAUAUA
rnacentral:lncRNA from 1 species